GAUGAAGAACGUAGCGAAAUGCGAUACGUAGUGUGAAUUGCAGAAUUCAGUGAAUCAUCGAAUCUUUGAACGCACAUUGCGCCUUCUGGUAUUCCGGUAGGCAUGCCUGUCUGAGCGUCAGCAAAACACCCUCAGCUGAAUUUUAUUAAUUUGUGCUGGUCUUGGGUAGCGGAUGCUGGUGGUGAAUAUUCCACCUGCACUCUCCCUAAACUUGCUGCACGACCGCAAAGCACCCCCUUCUAGCUAGGUCAAUGGAGUGGUGUUACAAUCUUCCAGAAAGCCUGCUGGACAACUGCUUCAUGGCGUUAAACCAGAGAGCCUCCCUCCCUCUGUGGAGGCUUGAAGUUUUGACCUCAGAUCAGACAAGGAUACCCGCUGAACUUAAGCAUAUCAAUAAGCGGAGGA
rnacentral:misc_RNA from 1 species